rnacentral:rRNA from 1 species
UGAGUAACGCGUAUCCAACCUACCCUAUAGUAGAGGAUAGCCCGGCGAAAGUCGGAUUAAUACUCUAUGUUUUCCGUUGCAGACAUCUAAGAUGGAACAAAGGCUUGCCGCUAUAGGAGUGGGGAUGCGUCUGAUUAGGUAGUCGGCGGGGUAACGGCCCACCAAGCCGACGAUCAGUAGGGGUUCUGAGAGGAAGGUCCCCCACAUUGGUACUGAGACACGGACCAAACUCCUACGGGAGGCAGCAGUGAGGAAUAUUGGUCAAUGGACGAGAGUCUGAACCAGCCAAGUAGCGUGCAGGACGACUGCCCUAUGGGUUGUAAACUGUCUUUUAUAGGGGAAUAAAGUCCACUACGUGUAGUGGUUUGUAUGUACCCUAUGAAUAAGGACCGGCUAAUUCCGUGCCAGCCGCUGC